rnacentral:rRNA from 1 species
GACGAACGCUGGCGGCGUGCCUAAUACAUGCAAGUAGGACGCACAGUCUAUACCGUAGCUUGCUACACCAUAGGCUGUGAGUUGCGAACGGGUGAGUAACGCGUAGGUAACCUGCCUAUUAGAGGGGGAUAACUAUUGGAAACGAUAGCUAAUACCGCAUAACAGUAUGUAAUACAUGUUAGAUGCUUGAAAGAUGCAAUUGCAUCGCUAGUAGAUGGACCUGCGUUGUAUUAGCUAGUAGGUAGGGUAAUGGCCUACCUAGGCGACGAUACAUAGCCGACCUGAGAGGGUGAUCGGCCACACUGGGACUGAGACACGGCCCAGACUCCUACGGGAGGCAGCAGUAGGGAAUCUUCGGCAAGGGGGGGAACCCUGACCGAGCAACGCCGCGGGAGUGAAGAAGGUUUUCGGAUCGUAAAGCUCUGUUGUUAAGGAAGAACGAGUGUGAGAAUGGAAAGUUCAUACUGUGACGGUACUUAACCAGAAAGGGACGGCUAACUACGUG